GCUGCUAGGGGUGCUUGAUAGCUGAGAUGAUUUUAUAUCUGUCCCUUAUUACCUGAUACGGAUAAUGCCGUCGUAGGAAAGCA
rnacentral:ncRNA from 1 species